UGGGGAUUUAGAUCAGUGGUAGAGGGCUUGCCUAGCAAGCGCAAGGCCCUGGGUUCGGUCCCCAGCUCUGAAAAAAAGAAAAAAAAAAAGAAUUCCCCAACUUUAAAUUUGCAUGCUACCUUGCAAGGCUAUAGUUAGCUCUCCCAGCCUGAUCACCUUGAGCAUCUUAAGACCCUGUGUUAAAAAGGGGGGGAGAGGUAUGUAACUAAUAUAAGUUAUUUAUGUAAUUCUUCAGGGGCUAUGGUAUAAAAAUUUACCAGAGCAAAAGUUAAAUCUUCCCCACAACCAGGCCCUCCACAGGCUUGGCCUGGUUCCUUCACAGGCUACUCUCAAUAAUGUAUUUGGUCUUGAUAAUGCAAAAUUUAAUGCAGUCAGCUUCUGUGCAAAUCCAACACAUAACUAACAAUUCCUAUCCGGUCAGACAGCAAAAGUCCUAAUUUGUUGGUAGUGGUUCCAGGCUGCUUUCUGCUGUUUGGAAUGUUUGAAAGAGUCUCAUCCUCCUGGUAGAUUUGAGAGAUUCAGUUUGGGUUGUCAGGCUUGACGGUGAGCAAACACCCUUACCUGCUGAGCCGCCUUGCAGGCCCAGAACCGUCUUAAACGAAACAAAAACCAACCGCUCGUAGGCACGAAGAACUAAGGUUCCAGCCUCUUUCUUCCACUUUUAGUCCUUGCCCUUCGCUCCCAUUCGGAAGUCAGGAAGGCCUUCUGUGACCCAGACAAUCUAGAUAGGCCGCCCUUUGCCUGUGUCUAAGAGAUGCCCUUUGGAAUCAAUCAAUGCGGCCGGAGGCCAUCCGUCCCGACUGAGAAGCCUGCUCUCCACCAGGAGACAUUUCCUGUGUUAGCUGACAACCUUAGUGUACAGAUUCUUAUCACUAGAUCAACAUAGCCAGGCUCCCCAAGGGGCGGCUUUUUUCCUGGUAGAGCGUUUCCAACCGGUUCUUACUCUCACAUUGCACACAGGAGGCAGAGGCAGAAAGAUACCUGCAAAUUCAAGAACAGCCUGGUUUACACACCAAGAUCCAGGACAGCCAGAGGUACAUAGUGAGACCCUAUUUCAAAAUAAAUGAAUAAAUUAAAUGAAAGAAAAACAAAAUGUUUUUGUACUCUUAAUACACAGUUAAUACAGUACUCAACACAGAUGUGUCUCCUCUGGGCACCAACGCGUGUGGUCCUUGCCAGUAAGUAGCCAGCCCGUGGGCAUCGAUAAGUCCUGGCCAGUAUGUAGCCAGCCCUUGCUUCACGCCCCUCCUUGCCCCCUUACCCUUUAUUCCGUCCCCAGUUCACACAGGAUAAGGGCUCAGUCUAAUAAGUUUGUUCCCACUUCAGACACCAGUAGCAAACUCCAGGUUGUGGACCAGGCUUCUGAUAGACCGGCUACAAACUGGGUGUUCCCACUGGUUGACUAGGAUCAGUGAUAUGUUAUCAUUAAGAACUCAGGCUGACACUUGUGCUUCCUCCUGUAUCAGCAGGGACAUUAUCGGUGCCAGGGAUGUGGCUCCGUUGGCAGAAUGCGUGUUUAGCGCACACAAAAGCUUUUGUCUCAUCCGCAGCUCUGCAGAACACCAGGCAUAGAGGUACAGUAACCUCAGUAACCCCUGACGUAGAGGCAGGGGGAUAUGAAGUUUGAGUUUUUUUUAUGGCUACAUAUGAGUUUGAGGCAAGUCUGGAAUAUCUGAAACCAUGUGUCAACUCGAUACAUAGAAAAAUAAAUACGUAGGAAAGAAUGGGCAUUGCAAGGAGUACAGGUAAACAGCCGUGAGAGCAUGGGAAGGCGGGCGGUCUGGGGCAUAUGGCUGAUGACCCUCCUAGGCACCUUCACAUGCUCAGCUCCUCAGAUGGUCUUUGAGCCAUUGGAUUUUCUUGGAGGCUCCAUUACUUAAGCAGGAUUGAUUUACUCUGGGCCACUGGCGAUCAACUGAAGGGCAAGCUGAAGGCCCAGCCCCUGGACAUGCUGCAGGAGUCCGAGCCAGGACAGAUGUGAUGGCUUGAAUGCUUGGCCCAGAGAGUGGCACUAUUUGGAGGUGUGGCCUUGUUGGAGCAGGUGUGAUACUGUGGCUUUAAGACCCUCCUCCUAGCUGUCUGCCAGUCAGUAUUCUGCUAGCAGCCUUCAGGUGAAGACGUGGAACUCUCAGCUCCGCCUGCAACGUGCCUGUCUGGAUGCUGCCAUGUUCCUGCCUUGAGGAUAACGGACUGAACCUCUGAACCUCUUCAGAAGGCAGAGAUGAAAGAUCCCACAAGCAAGGUGGCCAGCAAGACUAAGCCGUAUCUCGAAGCUCUGGGUUUGAUUGAGAGGCCCUGCCUCAAAGAAUAAGCUGCCAGGAAGCCAGUAUUCUGCUAGCAGCCUUCAGAUGAAGAUGUAGAACUCUCGGCUCUCAACCAUGCCUACCUGGAUGCUGCCAUACCCCCACCUUGAUGAUAAUGGACUGAACCCCUGAACCUACAGGAAGAAGAAGGUCAGAUGGUGGUAAGAGAAAUGGGAGACAUUCUACGGAUGCUCUAAAGAGACAGUCCUGAGUAUGGAAAGAACAACCGUUCAGACUGAGCGCUGCGGUCAAAGGACAGAUAUGUGAGCCAAGAGUCAAGGAGGCCAGUGGAGGCUGAAGAGGACACCUGGAAAUGGUUGGUGGAUCCUGAGUAGCAGGAGGAGACUUCAGUCCAGGAUGUAGUGCUGUGCUCACUGGGGCAGGCAAGGGAGGAGCUGCAGAAGGAAGCCAAACUGGGGUAAGGCAGAGAAUAACAAGCAAGAGGGAGUCUGGUCUCUCCUUCCACUCCUUAGAUCCAGGAUCAACUAAAGGUGGUAGGAGUGAGUGGUAGCAACCUUUUACUUGAUAAGCCAGUCAUCUUGCUGUGCCCUUGUUUCUCUUGUCACUGGAAGACUCAGAAGAUCGUUGACCAUGUAGCUGGUGUUAGAUACGGCAGUGGGCUCCAUUCUCCUGUUUCUGUGCCCCUGGCAGCUGUCCAGUACACUCUUCAGUACCUGUGUAUCUUCCUGCGGCUUAUGAGGAAAUAAAGAAAACAGGACAACGGGAAGGGACAAACAGAAGUAACUUCUGCCAAGUCAAAAUGCUUCUCUUGGUUUUUGGUUUGUUUUGGCUUUUCCAAACAGAAUUUCUCUGUGUAGCCCUGAACUCACUCUGUAGACCAAGCUGGCCUCAAACUCAGAGAUCUGUCUGCCUUUGCCUCCUCAGUGCUGGGGUUAAAGGUGUGUGUCACCACUGCCUGGCAUAUUUCUCCCUGUGUAAAAGGAGGCAGCAAGAAUCAUGCAAGUGUGGAUUUAAAUUGUAAAUACAGCCAUGGCUCGAGCUAGCACAAGACACACGUCCCAGUGAUGCAAGGUGGUUUUAAAGAAAUUUAUGGGGUGACCAAAAUUUCUUUUAAAAAUCACAAAUAAAACUAGGGCAAUCCCAUGAUUCCUCCCUCCUUUUCAAGCUGACAGUUUACCCUACCUGCCCUGGAAGCAGAGCUGUGCGUUGUGGGAGAUUAGACAUGUUUGUAAUGCCAGAACUUCAGGAGACUGAGACAGUACAAUCACAAGCUCAGGGCUGGACAGGGUGCUAGGCUAGACCCUGAGAAGAAAGAAGAGGUGGGUAGGGAGAGAACAGAAAGUGUAGGCCAUGGGUGGGGGCGUUCAGUGUGGAGGGGGUGGGUUCUGAACUGGAUGCUGAGACUCUUUAAUACAGCUCCUCAUGUUGUGACUCCCAAUCAUAAAAUUAGCUUCAUCGCUACUUCAUAACUGCAAUUGCUUGCUACUGUAAUGUAAGCAUUGGUGAUUUUUUGAUGGCCUUCGGUGACCCUGGUGAAAGGGUCAUUCCCCAAAGGGGGAACUGCUGGUCUAGGCUAUCUUAGACAGCAUCCCUGUGAGAACCGUAAGUCCUGGGUUAACACUCUGCCAUUUGCUUUGCUUCUAGAAACAAAAGAUCCUGAACCAAUGUGCAGAGCUUCCUUUCCAAUGCCACCCCAGCCCUGGAGUAGAGACCAGGCAAAUACUCUUCUGGCUCUGUGAACACUGGCCUGGAAGAACGACAGCCCCGCCCCCCCCCCCCAUGGCAAUGUCUUUAGUGGGCUGUUGGCAGAGACCAAGGCUCUGCUUUUGAGACUAACCGUUGGAGGAAACGGGUGCCUGCUGGGUCAACAUCUCCUCUCUGAGCAGAAAUGAAGUCUGGGGUCUGAGACCAAGAGCAGGAGGCCUGGUUUACUUCCAGAAGUCGUCUCAAGAAGUCACAGGAGGGUGGAGGCCAGAGAGAUGGUUCAGUGGUUAAGAGCACUGGCUGUGGGCUGGGGAUUUAGCUCAGUGGUAGAGCGCUUACCUAGGAAGCGCAAGGCCCUGGGUUCGGUCCCCAGCUCCGAAAAAAAGAACAAAAAAAAAAAAAAAAAAAAAAAAAAAGAGCACUGGCUGCCAUUCUAAAGGACCUGGGUUCAAUCCUAGCACCCAUAUGGAAGCCCAACCCUUGUCUGUAACCUCAGUCCCUAGGAUGGUCCGACGCCCUCUAUAGGGACUGCACAGAAAGCCAGGCACCAGGCAGGCUAAGUACCCAAACACAUAAAGUAAAACAAGAAUUUAAAAAUUAAAAAAAAAUAUAUAUAUAUAUUUCAAAAGAAGCCACACAGGCGGGAGGGAGGAGGAUUUAUGUGCAACUUCCAAGAGCCGGUAUUCCCGAGAUGUUCUACCCACAUCGGGUUCAGUCUGAGUGGCCUUGCAGACUUCUAAGAACUGCACCCACUGCUGACGGAGGAAACACCUGCCGCUGCGGGGUUUCAAGUGCACUGAUCUGGUUAAUAUACCACAGGCAAUCUCGAUCCUGAAAUAGCUCUGCUCCAAUAUUCAUAUUAUAAAAGAAAACAGAAACUAAUCGUCCCUAACAUGUCACAGCACAAGGCAAAACAGGAAGCUACCAAGAAGUGAGAAUCAGGCUGCCCUUCAGCCAGGGGCUCCUUCCCCUUGGUUUCCCCUUUACCUGGGUCACCUCGGCUUGGCUGGUGAUGCAUUUGCCUCAGUGCUGCGGAAUGCCACAGAAACCCACAAUGACUCACUUUCCGGGCAGAGGCAGGUCUAGCCUAGGUCAGCACUUAGUGUGUGGGUGAAGGAAGGCCUUCUCUUUGUGCAGCGUUUCCCCAAGCAUUAUCAAAUUAUCCAAACCGUCUGGGUGGUCCGUCAAGGCUGCAGCUUCCGCAAGUUCAGCCCAGCUGGAGCAGUGAAGGCUUUCUGUGCUGAGCUCUGUUCCUGGCAGAAGCACAAGACGUGGGCUCUCUUCCCAUGAUGUAUUUGGUGGGAAUAUGACACAGGAGGCUCAAACGACUUCAAGAUCAGGUGUGGGACAAGACAGGCAGAUCUGAGGCCAUGCAGCUCCAAAAGAAGGACUGAGGUUGGAGCAACCCACAGGAAUAGGCAUCAGGAGUAAAUGGGCUGGAGAGACGGCUCAGUGGUUAAGAGCACUGGCUGCUCUUCCAGAGGUCCCGAGUUCAAAUCGCCACAACCACAUGGUGACUCACAACCAUCUGUAAUGGGAUCUGAUGCCCUCUUCUGGUGUGUCUGAAGACAGCUACAGUGUACUUAUAGAUAACAAAUAAAUAAAACUUAAAAAAUGAAAGAGUAAACAGG